UGUCGAGGUGUCAGAUUAAUGAGAUGAAUUUAAGCUUCAUUCAUGGGGAAACUCCCUCGAAUCUGCCUUGGCAG
rnacentral:tRNA from 1 species